UAGGAAGAAGUGUAAAUGUGCACUUAGCUUUUUGGUGGCUGAAGAGGCAAGUAGUCUUGCCCUUCCUAA
rnacentral:tRNA from 1 species